ACUUAGAACACGUUUCCUCCCAUCACGGCACUUUGAUCUGGCUGAAGAUAUGAGGAUAGAAUACACAAGGUCCAGUGGCUGAAGAAAUUACAGUGCAUUUGUAGAAAUGAUAAUGACUCACAGUGGAUGGAGCACAAGGCUUGGGGAGACAUAUACCCAGAAUGAACAGAGCCAGGAGGUCUUUGCGCAGCCAGGAUCAGAUCUUCCCAAGCCCUAGAUCAGCUCUGAUAG
rnacentral:lncRNA from 1 species